AGUAAUUAAAAAAAAAAAAUUAUUGUAAAUCGAAGGAACGUAUCUUAAUUUAGAGAAUGAAGGAACGUCUCUCAGGAGACAUGUGGCGACCUCUCACCUCUCUCCUCUCUCCUCUCACAUUCGAGUUUCCAUUUUCUCGGCGGCCGCGGAAGGGAGGAUCCGUGACGGCAAACGACGAAGGGAGGGCGGGGCUAGAGACGGCGGAUCGUGAAGACGGUGAGGAAUCGAGGAGAGGGAGCCCCCUUCAUCUUGUCUUUCACCGAAGAAAGAGAAAUUCCAGUUCGAGAAAACCGGCGAGAUUCUGUUUCGAUGAAUCUGAGAGGGCGGGGCUAGAUUCUGUAGAGGCAAGCACUCCUGCUCACAUUCAUCUCAGUUUUUGCAAUCCACCAACUGCCUUUACCAACAGAAGCAGAGGUACAUUCAGCAACACAAUGAGGUCAAACUCUCUGCACUCGGAAUGGCUAAUAUACAUUCAUCCCUGCUCUUGGUACCUCCAGUGAUCUACGCGUAGGUCAGAGUUGCUUAGCUUGCUUGAUGAGCUUGAUCACAAGAUUUGAUCGUGGUGGGGGAAAGAUGAUUCAAAAGAUUUCAACACUUUUCUAAUCAAUGCCCGAUUGGAUGCUGAGCUCAAGCCCUCGGAUAGCGACAGAGAAACAAACCCAUAUCAACACUUUGGGACAAUACUGAUUCAAGAUGGAGGACACUUGUGAUGUUCCGCUCUCUUCGGUCCAAAUCGUAGCCUUCUUCCUUUGUUACGCUCACUUCGCUCCAAACGAUAACCUCCUUUCUUGGUCACUGUCAUCACAAUCAAGUUGGAGUUAUGCAUGUCUCCUUCCUUGGUCACAGUCAUCUUAAUCAAGUUGGAGUUAUACUUCUUUUUUCUUUUUAAGUAAAUUAAAUUUUAUUCAACCCUAAAACGGGGAUUCAGAUCCAAUUACAAGUCCGAUUUUGAACAAAAUUUCCCAAGUCAAUAUAUUACAAAACUAGUUUCACCCACCCACUAAACCCGGCACAUUCUGCUAGUCUGUUUUUAAAAUUCCUAAGAAUCGAGUACCGUUCUCAUCCAUCGACGAUAACCACGGGAACGUGAGGUUCUCCUCGUUGCCUCGGAUGCCGGGAAUCCCCAUGUCGUCUCUGAAGUAGUUAGUGCCCGAUGAACUCCUCAAAGCUUAUAAUCAUCACCGACGAUGAAGCGCUAGACGAACGGAAAACGUACCUUGCUCUUACCAAGAGAAGACCGUCUCCAAACUCGUCAAGAACCGAACAUGAAAAACGGGUUGAGCUCGACGCCACAACCUGCCAAGCUAGUCUCAUAAACCUGCAAAGAAAGUCUAGCCACACUGUCACAUAGCACCAAAGAACCAAAGCGAAACCGGGAUGUGCGCUUUGACAAAUUGUUGACCCGAGACGACCAAUGACUCCCGAAGAUCGCCUCCCAAUUCCGACCAUCGAGAACCGAUGGACCGCUUGCAAUGCCGCUAAAUACCAGCUUCCGGAGUCAAUCGAAACUGAAACAAAUCUAUGCCUUGAGACUUGGCUCCGAUGAGAAAGUCGUCACCUUCAAAACGGAGGACUGGACAGGAUGCCGUGAAGGAGUAAUCGGAAGUGAAGUGGAGCAGCGGAGGGUCAUCGAGAAGCCAUAGACGACUGUCUGUCACAACCACCAGCUACACCCACACGAGCCAGAGCUGAAGAAUCUCCCGAAGAACCAGAUACCAUCUCCGCCUGCGUAUCCCGGAUCUAAGGCACGUCUCGGAAGUGAAAAACUCCCAAAGCUCACUUGAAAUCGAGGGGAUGGAAUGGGACUCGCCGACACCGGAGAGGACCAAGGAACCAGCCACUGAGUUCGAUUGAGACCACCAAUAACCAUACGGCACCCCCGUAGUCCGUAGACGAUUAGCCGGACCAACCCUUCAAGCUCCUUCAACGACGCAGAGAUCCAGUGAAAUCAAAAAUUGAAAAUCGAUCUUCACCAUGAACCCUAAAAGCCGACUACUCCACCACCCAACCUUGACAACUCCUCGUUAUAACUCCAGACGAACCCAAUGACUCACCAUUUUAGAAGCUCCGCGCGCGAAGAGCAAACAAUCGACAAGACACCGCCAAGCCAGAACCACAAACAUAUCAGAGAGCAAGAGAGAGGUGAGGAGCAGCAA